rnacentral:rRNA from 1 species
AUACGGAGGGUGCAAGCGUUAAUCGGAAUUACUGGGCGUAAAGCGUACGUAGGCGGUUCGUUAAGUUAGAUGUGAAAGCCCCGGGCUUAACCUGGGAACUGCAUUUAAAACUGGCGAACUAGAGUUGAGUAGAGGGGAGUGGAAUUUCAGGUGUAGCGGUGAAAUGCGUAGAGAUCUGAAGGAACACCAGUGGCGAAGGCGACUCCCUGGACUCGAACUGACGCUGAGGUACGAAAGCGUGGGUAGCAAACGGGAUUAGAUACCCUAGUAGUCC